rnacentral:lncRNA from 1 species
GCCUUUCCUGACAGUGCCAUGGCACCUCUCUGUAGGUGAGCGACACUGCCAUUUCCUUCCAAGUGUGCCAUAUUUUCUUUUUUAAGUUAUUACAUGCUGAUUUACAGGUUGGUUUAGUCUAUUGUAUCAUGCCUCUAAUUCUGCUCCAUGCUCAAGUCAACAUGACACUUCUUCCCCCAAUUUUUUUCUCAAAUUAUUCUAUGUUAGUUCGGUUUGUCCUAUCAGGCUGAAUGAGCUGUCCACAUCUCCGUGUACAAAGGGUUAGUAUACAUCUACAUAAUCAGAUGCUGGAGGAAAUGUAGCAUAAUAUAUCUAAUCAUAUUAUAUGCUUUACUUACAAUGGUGCCUGCUCAGUGUAGCCAUUUACUCAUGAACUGUAACGUUUCUUUUUACAGAAAAUAGACAAGAUGGGGACAACAAAAUUUCUUUCUCCCAAUUCUGGCACCCCCAUCAAUUGCUUAAUUUUUCAUUACAAUUUUAAUGUCAAUAUUUUUCCUUAAGAAAUUUUGCUAACCGUGGCUUCAUUGCUAAUCAGUUUAUGGUUCACGUACUUGCCCAAAACAUAAUGUUUAGUUGCAGUUGAGCAAACACAACUAGAUCGUGUUAAUGCAUAAGUGAAAUCAACAGUCUUGACGAACCUAGAAUCUAAGGUAUAUAUGCACUGCGAUAUGUUUUACUAGCCUCCUGUUAAAUUCCAAGGACCCUCUUUAUCUUGAGGAUCAUUGUAUAUUGGUAUUUUGUUGCUCUUUCACUAGAAGAUGAUGCCAACUUGUUUUCUAAUUUGUAUAUGAUAAAACUGCAACAUGUCAUAAAAAAGCAGGUUUGGAAGAAUGGUAUUUUUUUAAAGCAAGUUUGGAAGAAUGGUAUUUAUCUAAAUUACGGACAACAAAUGCCAGAAUGGAAUAAAAAGUAAAUAUUCAUUAACACUUGAACACAUUUGUUGGAAUAUAGUGGUUGCUGUAUGAUCUUGAAGCAUGUAUUGCAUUGUAACAAUACAAGGCACGUGCUACUGUUUGACGUGUGAUCUUACAUUGGUAUUAUUAUCCCUGAUUUUCUUUUAGCGACUACUGUAUGAUCUUUGAAGUAUCUAAUCCAACGUUUAUGGAGCAUCAAGUGGCUGGGUUGAGAAGAGAAGUUAUUUGUUGGACCUACAAGGCGCAGAAAUCUAGCUGGCAACAAAAUUAUUUAUAUUUACGAAUGCAGUAAUAUGCAAUACAUAGUGUGUUUUUUAGAAUUACUUGUGUCAUGUUGGAAACAAUGUUGCUGGUGCCUUUACGUGUUACUACUGCUUUAUUGUUCAUGUAUAAUGCCUUCACAUAUUUGUGCCAAGCUAACAUUCAAUAUAUAUUACAAACAGACGGGCGCAGCAACGCG